UACGUAGGGUGCGAGCGUUGUCCGGAAUUAUUGGGCGUAAAGAGCUUGUAAGCGGUCUGUCGCGUCUGCUGUGAAAAUCCGGGGCUCAACCCCGGACUUGCAGUGGGUACGGGCAGACUAGAGUGUGGUAGGGGAGACUGGAAUUCAUGGUGUAGCAGUGAAAUGCGUAGAGAUCAUGAGGAAGACCAGUGGCGAAGGCGGGUCUCUGGACAGUUCCUGACACUGAGACACGAAGGCCAGGGGAGCAAACGGG
rnacentral:rRNA from 1 species